UGAACGCUAGCGGCAGGCUUAACACAUGCAAGUCGAGGGGUAACAGGGAAAGCUUGCUUUUCGCUGACGACCGGCGCACGGGUGCGUAACGCGUAUAGAACCUACCUUUUACAGAGGGAUAGCCUUUAGAAAUGAAGAUUAAUACCUCAUGGUAUUGAGAACUGGCAUCAGUUUUUAAUUAAAGAUUUAUCGGUAAAAGAUGGCUAUGCGUCCUAUUAGUUAGAUGGUAAGGUAACGGCUUACCAUGACAAUGAUAGGUAGGGGUCCUGAGAGGGAGAUCCCCCACACUGGUACUGAGACACGGACCAGACUCCUACGGGAGGCAGCAGUGAGGAAUAUUGGGCAAUGGAGGCAACUCUGACCCAGCCAUGCCGCGUGCAGGAAGACGGCCCUAUGGGUUGUAAACUGCUUUUAUACGGGAAGAAACCCCACUACGUGUAGUGGUUUGACGGUACCGUAAGAAUAAGCACCGGCUAACUCC
rnacentral:rRNA from 1 species